rnacentral:rRNA from 1 species
UACAGAGACUGCAAGCGUUGUUCGGAUUCACUGGGCGUAAAGGGUGCGUAGGCGGUCGGGUAAGUCUGGCGUGAAAUCUCCAAGCCUAACUUGGAAACUGCGUUGGAUACUAUCCGGCUCGAGGAAUGGAGGGGAGACUGGAAUACUUGGUGUAGCAGUGAAAUGCGUAGAUAUCAAGUGGAACACCAGUGGCGAAGGCGAGUCUCUGGACAUUUCCUGACGCUGAGGCACGAAAGCCAGGGGAGCAAACGGG